GGAGAGGUGCUAGAGUGGCCUAUCAGGCACGCUUGGAGAGCGUGAGUUCGCUUUGCGGACCGUGGGUUCGAAUCCCACCCUCUCCGCCA
rnacentral:tRNA from 1 species